rnacentral:sRNA from 1 species
UCGCUCAAUAUGUCUAGUCGUAAUUAGC